GUUCAUCUGUCACCUUACGACAUGAACCUGUCAUCCGAACACCAAUGCAGAAGUAAACAGUUUUACAUACGCCCCCUCCUCCAGAUGAAAUGUCCCGUUAUAACAUAUAACAAUAAAGAGGAUUGAAAAUAGUCUGUUAUAUUAGCAUUUGAACGUUGAAAAUGCCAGAAAGUAUGGGGCGCCGAAUGUAAAAAUUAACCUCAUGAAAUUUAUGUCUCAGUUUCACCACAUUUAGACAUUUCCUUCCAUAUUACUACAUUUAUAUCACAUAAAUGACAAUCUGGGACCACCAGAUGCAGUAAGUUACAGGGAACACAUGGGGGCACUCUCACAUGGUUCCAUGAUCCAGGGGGUUGAGUCAGGAAGUGCAUCCGCUCUCCAACUGAAGCCCAAUCACAAGAGUGAAUUCUGGUGUGAUUGAUGGUGACAAACCCCUGAAAGAAGGCGCUGAAAGAAAACCCAGUAAACAGUAAACUGUUGAGUUUUGGCACACCAGCUUGGUUUGGUCUCAUUGGUUUUCUUUGUUGGUUGUGGCGUAAAUGAGCAAAAGCUGAAGUGAAACUGCCUUGCAUUCAUCUAACCACAGCUGAAAGCAGCUCUUGGAAUCGUGGAUGUGAACAUCUCAAAAUCCUAACUUUCUUGACUCAUUACAGGCUGGUCCACAAAUACGAUUGCUUGGAUAAGAAGCUGUACCCUAUGCUCACACACAAACACAAAGUCCUCACACAGAAGUGUGCCGUCUGCCAUCUCUUUAUUGCCAGAUGGUAAACCACUAGUGACCAGUUAGCUCCCAGCGACCCGUGUCUCUUUUGUGACAAAUGCUUCCGGAUGCUGCAUUACGAUGCUGACGGCAACAAACUGGGAGAGUUUUCAGCUUAUCCUCAUGUGGAUCGAGGUGCUUUAAACUAAAGCUUUUCUGUGCUGAAGCCUCAGGGAAUUAUGUUUGACUGUUUUUGUGUUCUAACAGGCUGUAAAUUUGUUCUGAGUAACAUUUUUCCAAUAAAGUUAUUUUGUUUCCAGACUUGUUUUUCUGUAACAUUAAUAAACAUCAGCAAAAAC